rnacentral:rRNA from 1 species
AUUGAACGCUGGCGGCAGGCCUAACACAUGCAAGUCGAACGGUAGCACAGAGAGCUUGCUCUCGGGUGACGAGUGGCGGACGGGUGAGUAAUGUCUGGGAAACUGCCCGAUGGAGGGGGAUAACUACUGGAAACGGUAGCUAAUACCGCAUAAUGUCGCAAGACCAAAGAGGGGGACUUCGGGGCUCUUGCCAUUGGAAGUGGCCAGGUGGGAUUAGCUUGUUGGUGAGGUAAUGGCUCACCAAGGCGACGAUCCCUAGCUGGUCUGAGAGGAUGACCAGCCACACUGGAACUGAGACACGGUCCAGACUCCUACGGGAGGCAGCAGUGGGGAAUAUUGCACAAUGGGCGCAAGCCUGAUGCAGCCAUGCCGCGUGUGUGAAGAAGGCCUUCGGGUUGUAAAGCACUUUCAGCGGGGAGGAAGGCAAUGCGGUUAAUAACCGUGUUGAUUGACGUUACCCGCAGAAGAAGCACCGGCUAACUCCGUG